rnacentral:rRNA from 1 species
UACGAAGGGGGGCUAGCGUUGUUCGGAUUUACUGGGCGUAAAGCGCACGUAGGCGGCUUUGCAAGUUAGAGGUGAAAGCCCGGGGCUCAACUCCGGAAUUGCCUUUAAAAACUGCAUCGCUAGAAUUGUGGAGAGGUAAGUGGAAUUCCGAGUGUAGAGGUGAAAUUCGUAGAUAUUCGGAAGAACACCAGUGGCGAAGGCGACUUACUGGACACAUAUUGACGCUGAGGUGCGAAAGCGUGGGGAGCAAACAGG